rnacentral:rRNA from 1 species
GACGUAGGGCGCGAGCGUUGUCCGGAUUUAUUGGGCGUAAAAGAGCUCGUAGGCGGCUUGUCGCGUCUGCUGUGAAAACCCGAGGCUCAACCCCGGACUUGCAGUGGGGUACGGGGCAGACUGGGAGUGUGGUAGGGGAGACUGGGAAUUCCUGGGUGUAGCGGUGGGAAUGCGCAGAUAUCAGGGAGGAACACCGGGUGGCGAAAGGGCGGGUCUCU